GCCCCCGUAGCCCAAUUCGGCAGAGGCAGCGGAUUCAAAACCCGUCCAGUGUGGGUUCAAGUCCCACCGGGGGCACCA
rnacentral:tRNA from 2 species